rnacentral:tRNA from 1 species
UGGCUCAGUUGGUAGAGCACGGUGUUUGCAACGCCAGGGUUGUGGGUUCAAUUCCCAC